AUUGAACGCUGGCGGCAGGCUUAACACAUGCAAGUCGAGCGAGCGGCGGACGGGUGAGUAAUGUCUGGGAAACUGCCUGGUGGCGGGGGAUAACUACUGGAAACGGUAGCUAAUACCGCAUACCAUCAGAUGUGCCCAGAUGGGAUUAGCUAGUAGGUGGGGUAAAGGCUCACCUAGGAGACGAUCCCUAGCUGGUCUGAGAGGAAGACCAGCCACACUGGAACUGAGACACGGGCCAGACUCCUACGGGAGGCAGCAGUGGGGAAUAGUUCACAAUGGGCGCAAGCCUGAUGCAGCCAUGCCGCGUGUGUGAAGAAGGCCUUCGGGUUGUAAAGCACUUUCAGCGAGGAGGCGUUACUCGCAGAAGAAGCACCGGCUAACUCCGUGCCAGCCGCCGCGGUAAUUC
rnacentral:rRNA from 1 species